UACAGGGGGUGCAAACGUUGCUCGGAAUCACUGGGCGUAAAGCGCACGUAGGCGGAUUGGAAAGUUGGGGGUGAAAUCCCAGGGCUCAACCCUGGAACUGCCUUCAAAACUCCCAGUCUGGAGGUCGAGAGAGGUGAGUGGAAUUCCGAGUGUAGAGGUGAAAUUCGUAGAUAUUCGGAGGAACACCAGUGGCGAAGGCGGCUCACUGGCUCGAUACUGACGCUGAGGUGCGAAAGCGUGGGGAGCAAACAGG
rnacentral:rRNA from 1 species